UACGGAGGAUCCAAGCGUUAUCCGGAUUUAUUGGGUUUAAAGGGUGCGUAGGCGGCCUGUUAAGUCAGGGGUGAAAGACGGUAGCUCAACUAUCGCAGUGCCCUUGAUACUGAUGGGCUUGAAUGUACUAGAGGUAGGCGGAAUGUGACAAGUAGCGGUGAAAUGCAUAGAUAUGUCACAGAACACCAAUUGCGAAGGCAGCUUACUAAAGUAUGAUUGACGCUGAGGCACGAAAGCGUGGGGAUCAAACAGG
rnacentral:rRNA from 1 species